rnacentral:rRNA from 1 species
UACGUAGGGUCCAAGCGUUAUCCGGAUUUACUGGGUGUAAAGGGCGAGUAGACGGUUGUGCAAGUCAGCUGUGAAAACUUGGGGCUCAACCCCAAGACUGCAGCUGAAACUGUGCGACUAGAGUGCAGGAGAGGAAAGUGGAAUUCCUAGUGUAGCGGUGAAAUGCGUAGAUAUUAGGAGGAACACCAGUGGCGAAGGCGACUUUCUGGACUGUAACUGACGUUGAGGCGCGAAAGUGUGGGGAGCAAAC